UUUGACGUUGACGGCGAUGGCUGCAUCACUUCCGAUGAGCUGAGGCACGCCAUGGUGAAGUUGCUGGGCGUGCAAACCAGCAAGAAGGAAAUUGACGCGGUGGUGAGGGAAGCUGACCGCAAUGGGGAUGGAACUGUCGACUUUGAGGAUGAGCCAUCUGCCUCAGGGCUUAUCAGCCGUGCUUGUGAGAGCGCUUAUGUGUCAGCGUCCUGGUGGCCAUUGUCUGAUGACCUCCUGGUGAAGAUGGUUCCUGUGAUAGUGUUUACUCACAUGUCUCCUCUGUACUCAGCCAUGCAAUCAUUGGUCCACAUUGUUACUUAUGUGUAUGUUGUGUGUGUUUGUAUUUGGUAUCUGUAUCUGUGCGUACGUAUUAGAUAACGGGGGAUAUGGGUCACCGGGGUAUUGUUUUUAACUUUGUAAAGCACUUUGCAUUGCAUUUAUUUUAUGUAUGAAAAGCGCUUAAGUAAUAAAGCUUGAUGAUGAAAACACAAGAUCCACUUCGGGUAAAUUAAAACUGACUCAAUCGAUCCUGUCUCAGAAGCAGCCAAUGAGGAUUUAGAUUGGAAGUCACGUGACACGGGUACUACAAAGAGGCAGCUAAUGCAGCACUACAUGCGGCGUGUAAUCUGUAUGUGCUAUGAUCGCUUUUUAUUAACACAUUAAACAGUGAUGGUUACUAUGUGUUAGUGGGGAAAAAUAAUCCCAAAAUUCCGCAAAAAAGGAUGAAAGCAAACAUGGUGGUACAAACACGCAAUGUCUGUCACAAAAAAACGUUAUAACAGACCAUCUCAAAAACGGAAUGCAAUUUCUAUUUUUAUUUAAAAAAACUCAGAAUGUACCUUAAAAUACAGAAUGUCAGAUUUACAAUUUGAAGUAUGAACACUAUACUUUGAGAAUUUAAAAACGUUUCUCCAUCCUCCACUGCAGACCACCUCCUCGAUCGACAUCUUUUCAAAUCAAAGGAUGGUCGUCCGUUGGGGGAGGGACACCCGCCUCAAGCAAGAACGACAAAGAUGCAACAUCCAUCCAUUUCUACCGCUUAUUCCCUUUGGGGUCGCGGGGGGCGCUGGUCCCUAUCUCAGCUACAAUCGGGCAGAAGGCGGUGUACACCCUGGACAAGUCACCACCUCAUCGCAGGGCAAGAUGCAAUAUACACAUCGAAAUAUAAACGCAAAGUGUAAAAAAAAAAAUCCACAUAUUCGAUAUAUCACUUUUCUGCAGAAUUACUAGAUUGUCCCCAGGUGCGCGAUCCACGCUUGAUUGUGGCGUCGCUCCCGACGCGCCUCGCCGCUCGCUCGCCAUUCCCGCCUCCUCGCCGCCAUCUUGGGCUGGGCUCCGGCGUGCCCUGCCUCUCUGUUGGACUGCCGGCUGCGCAUCUCCACACCAUUAAAAUCAUACCUAUAGUUUGGAAACGUCCAGCGAGCAGCAUUGAAAUAUUAAUUAUGUCGUAUUAUGCCCAGAUAACUGCCUUUUUUAAUGCUGUUUUGAAAGACCCGUGUCACGUGACUUCAAACAUUUAUUUAUAAACUGCAACAUUUACAAACAAUCGAGAAAUAAUAAUAAUCAAAAUAAGUACAAAAACAGUACAAAUCAGUGCCAGGGGGUUGUAAACUCUAUAAAGUACCUAAAAUAGAAUUAUAUAUAUAUAUAUAUAUGUAUAUAUGUAUGUGUACAGGCCUAACUGCUUGGCAUCUCUGCCUGUCGCACCUCCUCCAGUGCACAACGAGGUCAGCUGCAGGGUCGUCAGCUGGUGCCACCGUUCACUGAUGUUUCGCCCCCAAGCCAGGACACCUCGCGUUGGGGGGGCAAGUGGCUAAGCGGGGACGUCUCCCCGCCCCACUCCCUGCAACUGACCUCAAUGUGGUGUUGAGCCCCAAGUGUUGUCCCUCCUCCUUAGCCACAUCCAGAAACUUGCCUCCUCUGCCAACUCCUUGAUGGCCCUCCUCAGGCUGGAACCAUUCAAUUCCCGCCGCACGCAGGAGCCGGGUCCCAGAACCGACUAAGAAACCCCUGCAUCCGAUCUCCACGGGGUGAAUGGACACAGACCAGCCUCCGCCCUUGCAGGUCUGCCAACUUGCGGCUCCCCUUACAAAAAAGCACCUGAUUGUGUCGCCACCGGAAGCGCCCCUGCGUCAGCGUGACGCUGCAACCUGACAGGAUGUGUUUGAGUCCUGCAUUGUCUUUGCUGCACAGGCAGCACUUGCCCUUUCUUCCGAACCACUGGGAGAGGUUUCGAGGGCAUGGCAGUGUGUCAUAAGCUGCCCUCACGAGGAAGCUGAGCCGUGAUUGAGGAGUGCACCAGAUGUCGGCCCAGCCUCGAGACAGCUUGGUCGACUUCGACCUGGAUCCUCCACUUUCCUCCAGUGCGGACUGUCACCGCUGCACUCUUCACAGCUUUGUCUCUUGAUUCCCUCAACUCCAGUACAAGGCGAGUCUUUUCUGCCCGUAACCCAGAUUGAUGGACUUCAGAGGAAGUUGCAGAAUGUUCUUGCCGAAAAGACCUGUGUCUGGGAAACAGCGGGGGAGGCCCAGCCACUUCCUGAUAUAACUGUUGGCGAUGCUGUCCAUCUUGCUGGCCUUAAAAGAUGAAAUUUUGGCCACUUUCAGCGACCACAUGACGCGGUGGAAAAAGUGUGUGUGUGUGUAUAUUAGGGAUGUAACGGUACGUGUAUUUGUAUUGAACCGUUUCGGUACGGAGGUUUCGGUUCGGUUCAGAGGUGUACCAAACUAAUACACAUGCUAGCAGCGACCGGGCUAGGACAACAUAUAAAAGCCAGAGCUGGAAGUCCCUCCUGCCUCGUUAAGAUCUCCCGUUUGGGAACACUUUGGCUGCGCGAUACAACAAUGGAGGACGGAAGUUUGCCGAUAUUGUUCAGCAGCUGCUUCUGACAAGACGUCAAACGUGUUGCACCUUUCCUGCUUCCGGCUCCCAGACCGUAGUCGAGCAGCGCAGGGGAGACACUCCUCCAGGGCUGAUGUAUUCUCGGGGGCAACACCCUUCACUCUACCCGGCAGUGUGUCUCCACAGCUCCGGACUCCAGGGUAAAUGAAGCGUCCGGCAAUUAGUUGCAAAUCGUGGCUUUGUGGAGGUCUUGCAGACAGCCAAUCCAACAAAACACCAGCCACUCCCGCACUUGUGCUAAGCUCCCUCACCUCGCUUGCCCACACACUCACUGACGUCACAUGCUGUCACAUAUUAAAGGGCCACACACACACACACACACGCUACUCUCAUAACACAUGCUAACCCAUUUGAAGCGUCACCACCGCAUUCAAGCAGCCUCUCCUCAGCAAGUCAGGCAGGGGUAAAGCAAUAACAAAUGUUUUUAUAGCAGCAGAUUUAAGUCCAUAUUGCAAUAAAAACUACAUUUUGACCCAUUUCUAUGGUGGAAAAACAAUGAGCCCAUAUAUCCUCUUACUGCCAAGUUAGUCAGGCUAAUAAAAGUCUCAAUCAAUCAAUAAAAAAAAGCACUUUAUAUGUAGAAAGGAUUUGUUAAGAAACCAUUCUGAGCCUUAUCUUAUUUAGUUUUUAUUUUAUACAUGUGGACCACAUUAACCCUGGCAAUGGACCUUGUGUGUAUAUGUAUGUUAUGCCAUCGUUUACAAAUUUGGUAAAUAAAUAACCCAAAAAAAUUAUAUUUUGUAGUUUUCUUACUGUACCGAAAAUGAACCAAACCGUGACCUCUAAACCGAAGUAUGUACUGAACCGAAAUUUUUGUGUACCUUUACACCCCUAGUGUAACGCUACAACGCAUUUAGUUGUAUUCAGUGCUAAAAAAUUAUAUCGCUCUAACGGAAAUACUUUUUAAAAUAUUUGGCUUGUAUGGCUCUCUCACCAAAAAGGUGUGUAUAUACACACACAUAUACAUAUACAUAUACAUAUACAUAUAUAUAUAUAUAUAUAUAUAUAUAUAUAUAUAUAUAUAUAUAUAUAUAUAUAGUGGAGUUAAAACCCAUAAGUGACAGUAACCCACGGGAACCUUUUUGGCUGAGAGAGCCAUAAAAGUCAAAUAUUUUUAAAAAUAUUUCCGUGAGAGCCAUAUAAUAUAUUUUUUUAAAACUGAAUACAACUAAAUGCAUGCAUUUUUAAGUAAGACCAACAUUUUUAGAGUAUAAUAAGUCUCUUAUUAUUUUUGAUAACAUUGUUAUUCUGAAGCUAACCAACAAUAAAUAAAAUCAUUCUUACCAUUAAUGCGAUUUCUUGAACAGAUGCGGUAGAAACCGGAUGGAUGGAUUAAAAUGCAUGAGAAUGUUUUAAAUUUUGAACGUUAUUUUUGACACUGUAAUUGCCAGCGGAAAUAUUCAUUACUUACCGUGUUAAGCAAUGUCAUCAAAAGAGCCACAUCUGGCUCUAGAGCCAUAGGUUCCCUACCCCUGCCCUACAUGUGUAAUGAUAGUGUUUGACCACAUGGUGGUAGUAAUAGUCUACAAAUGACUAGGAACCAAUUAUAGUAUGUGUCUAGUAGGACUCAUUAGAGGUAGACACACCUUGUAUGCACGACGGUUGAAGAAGCGUUGGUUAUAUGUUAUCGUUAUUAAAAGACAGUUCUACAAGACAUCCAACGAUGUGUUAUUUAAAACAAUAACAUAACAACAUGGUCAAAAUCAGUGAAAACUACAAUUCCCAGAAUGCCAAGGUAAAAUGGACGCCAAAUUACUAAUUGAAGGCAUUCAUUCCCCAAACAAUUUCCAUGGAAGAAAGAACAGCAAGCAGCCACAACCGCAAGAUCCUCUCAACAAGUUUCUCCAAACACAUCAAUGGUGUGAACCGCCCCAGGUAACAAGUUGACUUGAGACAGACGAAGGCGGCUUUGUAUGCUGAACUUCCCAUCUGGGCCUCUGCUGGGUUGACUGGUGUUGAAGUCCAACAGCUCAUUGGUGUCAUCUAGAAACCAGGAGACGUUAACGGACGCGGGACUGAAGCCAAACACCAGACACACCAGUGCACCACGACCCUGGAGCAAGAUGGCUGACGGUUGAGUAGGAGUCACUGUGGCUGUGGAGAUGGAAGUUUUAAGGAAGACAUUUGUUUAUAUGCAUCCCAGUCAUUUGCUGGCACACUGAGGAAGCUCCGUAAGGUCUCUGUACCAUUGCUGUGACGAGUUGGCUCCUCCGUGUGGGAAUUCUGAGAGUAUUUCUUCCCAUCUACUUUCCAGGAGAUGACAAAAUCAUGAAGUCGAGGGCCAACCAAAAGACAAGUAAUGGUCACCUUGUCCCUCUGCUGAGACUCUGGCAAGACCCAGAAGACGUGUACUAAGACAAGUCACACAGACCACCUAUCUGUACGAGUUGGGUGGUCCUGGUGACGUAUGUGGAGUUUACAGGGUUGUCAUCGACAAGCCAAGACACCAGAACCUCUUGGGGGAAGAAGUCUUUCACUAAGCAAGUCAGGGUAACCAUGUUUUUAUCAGUUUGUUCCACUGGAGGCAUCAUAAACACCGCAGGAUUUUGAGUUGAUUUACCUGCAAGUGCGACAGAACAACAUUUGACCACAGGAAGUAGUAUCAAACAGUUACAGUUUUCUUACCAGCAGUUCUUUUAUAGGAUUUCUUCACUGGGUUCGCAAUCUUUGAAUGCUUCACCACGCAGGUGCGCGCUAUCCCUGUGCUCCAUUCGUCAUACGUGAUGUCAAGCCGGGUCUCAAAUGGGCCCGAAUCGUUCUCCGGGGUGCUUUUCAAGGUCCCGGCCAUCUCGUUGUCAUCUUGGUCCUCCCACAAAAUACUCUGCACAGAUAGCCUGCUAGCUUUGACCUGACAUAUCACGGUGCCUUUUUUGUUCAGAAAGAUGUCUUCCAUUGUGGGGCCGCUGAUCUGUAUAUCGACAUCCGCCUCCGGGCAUCCUUCGCCUGUUGAAUGGACAGGAAGUCUUUUUCAAGGUCGUUGUGUGAUUUACAUUGAGUGUGUUGCAUUUUAGCCCGCGUUCACACUGGUUGUUCGGACCAAAAUAUAUGCAUUGAAAGACUUGAUUGGACACUUUUAUUGACCUAACUCAAUUAUUUCAAACCAAAAAUAGUUUUUUUUUUUACACUUUGCUAUUUUUACCAGUUUAUUUGUACUAGGGCAGUUAAAUCAUGUGAUUAAUCACAACAGUGCAUUAAGCAUGGGUGCAUGCAUAUUAAUUACACAUUUUAUUUUGAGCAUACAUGUUCCUUGACUUCAAACGCAGAUGGUUACCUGAAAGGUGGCCUACUUUUUUUGUUGUACCGCAAACGUAUUGCACCCAAUUCCUGAUGAUUGAUUCACACCAAUUUUAGCAAAUAAUUUUUUGGCGUUGAAAUAUAAUUAAACUAAUGCUGUUAAAUGUAACAAGUUAACUCAUGUGAAUCAUCAACCAAAGAAUUGCAUUAAUCAUGCGUAUACACAGAUUAAUCACGCAAUUUAUUUUGACCGCACAUGCUCCUUUACCUUUACCGUGAAUUUUUACCUGAAAGAUGCGUGGGUUGGUAUAUUUAUAGAGAGAGAUGAGUGAGGGGACUCCGACUGCUGUGCUCUCUGGCAUUUUUAAUUUCAGAAAUACACCCUACAUACAGCAACAUUUUAAAAUGUUGCUGUUUGUCAUUGUCAUGUUAAAAAAUACAUUUGUGCCCAAUUUCGGGGGCCUUUUUAGGGUCAUUUAAAUAAUGCAGCAGCUAAAAAAUUAUAUUUCAUUCCAAUUCAAAAGUGGGAUUAAUUAGAUUUGAAUAAUGACUCAUUUGACUUCACUAAUUUUUACAGACACCCUGUUGUCACACACAGAGAUUUACAUAUUUGUAAGUUUUGCAUGCUUUGUUUGCAAUCAGAGUUUGAUUUAACCAAAGUGUGAACACAGCCUAAAAUAAACAAAUGGAAAAGUACUCACUUGAUGAAUCUGCGGCGCGCAUGUUGCUCACAGAUGAGUUGAUAUACACAUCUCCAUGUGCGUCCCUCCCCGUAAACUUGCACCUUACAGU